rnacentral:lncRNA from 1 species
GUGGGGGUUAUGUUAUUCAGUCUUUAGUUUUUUGUGUUGGGUUUUGUUGUUUGGGUUUUAACGUUUUUGUACAUCAUAAACCUAAACUAUUAAAUUCAUUUUUGUCGAGCCUUCGACUUUAGUCGAAAAAGCGAGACAUAGCGAUCCUACAUUCAGUCGUCGUCGGUGGUAUCCACAAAUAUUAACUCUGUGGUUAAAGUUUUUGAAUUUUUAAUAACUUUCUUAAACGAUACUGGAUUUCUACCAAACUUGGACAGAAGCUUGUUUAUGAUCAUUUGAUAGUAUCCAGAAUUUUUAAUAAUAUAUUUUGUUCGUGACUUAUACAUACCGAUAUUGUAUUAUUGUGCUACGGCUUUUUUUGUAUUAUUUUUGUUUAUCUUAAAAGAGGGGCGAAAGAUACCAGAGGGACAGUCAAGCUCAUAAAUCGAAAAUAAACUGACAACGCCAUGGCUAAAAUGAAAAAGACAGACAAACAUUGAUUACAUGAAACUUCAUAGAAAAAUAAAGACUAAGCAAUACGAACCCCACCAAAAACUAGGAGUGAUCUCAAGUGAUCCGGAAGGGUAAGCAGAUCAAGCUCCACAUGUGGCACCCGUCGUGUUGCUUAUGUAAUAACACAUCCGGUAAAUAUGUAACUUAUGUACUUUGUCUAUUGUGUGUGAUAUAAAAGAAGGUUUAAUCAAUCAUUUUAACAUAAAGAAAUAUCUGCACCAAGUCAUGGAUAUGAAAGUUGUUUUGAAUUCGUUUGAUGGUGUUUGAGCGUUUGAUCUACUCAUUUUCUAAAGAACUUUCCUUUGAAUUUCCAUUGUAUUUUUUGUUUUUUUUAUUUUACUUUUUGUUUGUCGUUAUUUUCCAUGAUGUUGUCAAUUGUUAAUUCUUACGAGAUUAAACAUCGCUUUGGUAUCUUCCACUCCUGGUUUCUAUAUUACUUUGAAUCAAAUACGAAAGGGACUAGCAGAAACAUUUCUUCGACAGGAAUUUUAACCAAACAAACAAUAUAUUGUGCACUGUGCAUGGCAAUCUGCCAACACAUACCUCAGACCUAC